CACGUAGGGGGCUAGCGUUGUCCGGAUUUAUUGGGCGUAAAGAGCGUGUAGGCGCCAUGUAGGUCCGGUGUGAAAACUCGAGGCUUAACCUCGAGAUGUCAUCGGAAACCAUUUGGCUAGAGUCCGGAAGAGGAGAGUGGAAUUCCUGGUGUAGCGGUGAAAUGCGCAGAUAUCAGGAAGGAACACCAGUGGCGAAAGCGGCU
rnacentral:rRNA from 1 species